UACGAAGGGGGCUAGCGUUGCUCGGAAUUACUGGGCGUAAAGGGCUCGUAGGCGGCCAACUAAGUCAGACGUGAAAUCCCUCGGCUUAACCGGGGAACUGCGUCUGAUACUGGAUGGCUUGAGGUUGGGAGAGGGAUGCGGAAUUCCAGGUGUAGCGGUGAAAUGCGUAGAUAUCUGGAGGAACACCGGUGGCGAAGGCGGCAUCCUGGACCAAUUCUGACGCUGAGGAGCGAAAGCCAGGGGAGCAAACGGG
rnacentral:rRNA from 1 species